rnacentral:rRNA from 1 species
CAGCAGCCGCGGGAAUACGGAGGGUGCAAGCGUUAAUCGGAAUUACUGGGCGUAAAGCGCACGCAGGCGGUUUGUUAAGUCAGAUGUGAAAUCCCCGGGCUCAACCUGGGAACUGCAUCUGAUACUGGCAAGCUUGAGUCUCGUAGAGGGGGGUAGAAUUCCAGGUGUAGCGGUGAAAUGCGUAGAGAUCUGGAGGAAUACCGGUGGCGAAGGCGGCCCCCUGGACGAAGACUGACGCUCAGGUGCGAAAGCGUGGGGAGCAAACAGGAUUAGAUACCCUGGUAGUCCACGCCGUAAACGAUGUGAACUGGAUGUUGGGUGCAAUUUGGCACGCAGUAUCGAAGCUAACGCGUUAAGUUCGCCGCCUGGGGAGU